UUGAUAUGCUUUGCAAUCUUUUGGCUGUGGAUUGUUACAGUAAUAUAUUUUCUUUACUUGACAAGAAUUCCUUCGAACAUGGAACGGUUUUUCACUUGCAUAAUGGACAUUUAUUUCCUUGACGAUGACAAUAACAGAAUCACGGAAGUAUUAAUGUCCAUAUCGAGAGGCGAAGUGGGAUUCAGAAGCAACAAUUUCUUUUUCUUCGACAAGCAAGCGGUUUUAAGUGUAAGUUUAAUAUCUCAUAUACUAUUUUAUAAUACGGUAUAUAUUGUUUCUACUAUUGUUUAAAUAUUGAUAUAAUAUUUUCUAUAAAAGUGUAUUUUGUUUCAGUACACUGUCGAAUUCAUCACACAAUUAAUUGCAUUUUCGAUAAUAAGAAGUAAAUCCACCACAAAUUAGUAGGUAUCCACCGGAUAUUUGACUGAUUCAAUUGACAGAUAAUAAUUGAAAAAUUCAGUUCGAUGCACUACGUCAACUGCAGCAAUAUUGCAGAUUUUGAAAUUAGACGUGAUGUUCAUAUUGUGAAAUCAA